UGCGGGUGGGGGAGAUCCCAACCUCAGCAAGCGCAGCACCGGUGUCGGUGUCGAGCCACAGGGGAGACUGUGGGCUCAGCGCGUGGCGCCGGAGCAUCUGACUAGAACAGAGUUUGGGGAGGGGGUGGAAAUCCCCGAACAAAGCCAGGUCCCCGCGGGGGAACUGAAGGCGACGUGAGGAAACUGAGGCAGAGCGCCAGAUGUGCAGACGGGCCGACUGCCCUCGCCAGGGGCCCCGCCCCUCGGCUUGGCGGCUCCUCGGCGCGCAGCACCUUUUGCUCAACCGGAGUUAGCCAAGAGGGGCGCCCUACCCACCUCCUACGCACUCCCCAAACUCCCCGGCACGCCGUCCUGUCUCCCAGUCUCCGGUCAAAAGGGUUUGGAUUCCGCCUUCUCGGAGCCAACUUCCUGCCGCUGGGAUCCCAGAGUUCGGCGCUGCCUCCUGUCCCCUAGAAGAUGCAACCCACAGCCUACCUGCCCUUGCCCAUGGCUGCCCCGCCCUGGCUGCCAGGCCCAAGUUGUACCCUGCCUUCCAACUUGGGGCCCAUCCUCUCUCUGGUUCUUGAGUUUCCCCCCCUUUUCCUCAUUCAGCCUGCACUAGUUGUGAACAUGCAUAAGUAACCUGCUUGCUUAUAUGUUUAUUUACCAAAUACACUGAACAUCUGGUAGGUGCCAGACACUGUUCUAAAGGAUAGAGACAAAACAGGCAAAACUCCCGGCCCCGUGCGGCUGAUGUUCUACCUGAUGUGUGCAGAAUAUCCAGAAUAUUGCAAGAAGAAACUGGAAAAUGUCCUGGGGGAGGAGGCGGUUCCACUCUGAAUCCUCUGUACCUUUUGGCUGUUGUAACGUGCACAUUAUUGUAACAUGUUUAAAUAUUCCAACAAUAAAUUAAAUUAAAAAUUAAGCCUGCUUG